rnacentral:rRNA from 1 species
GAUGGGCACUAGAUAUCGGGGAAUUCGACUUCUUCGCGUCUCGCAGUUAACGCGAUAAGUGCCCCGCCUGGGGAGUACGCCCGCAAGGCUGAAACUCAAAGGAAUUGACGGGGGCCCGCACAAGCGCUGGAGCAUGCGCUUUAAUUCGAUGCAACGCGAAGAACCUUACCUGGGUUUGACAUGGGAGUGAAAGUUCCUAGAGAUAGGAACCUUUCCUUCGGGAACACUCCACACAGGUGCUGCAUGCUUGUCGUCAGCUCGUGUCGUGAGAUCUUGGGUUAAGUCCCGCAACGAGCGCAACCCUCGCCCUUAGUUGCCAUCAGGUAAUGCUGGGAACUCUAGGGGGACCGCCUGGAACAACCAGGAGCCACCUGGGGAUGAUGUCAAAUCAUCAUGGCUCUUACGUCCAGGGCUAGACGCGUGCUACAAUGGUCGGUACAGAAGGAUGCCAAGUCGUGAGACCGAGCUAAUCCAUGAAAACCGGCCUCAGUUCGGAUUGGAGUCUGCAAUUCGACUCCAUGAAGGUGGAAUCGCUAGUAAUCGCGGAUCAGCAUCCCGCGCUGAAUAUGUUCCCGGGCAUUGUACACACCGCCCGUCAAGCCACGAAAGAUGGGAGUACCCGAAGUCGCUUGC